rnacentral:rRNA from 1 species
GCUAGGAGGCGUCGAGCGGCGGACGGGUGAGUAAUGCAUAGGAAUCUGCCCGGUAGUGGGGGAUAACCUGAGGAAACUCAGGCUAAUACCGCAUACGUCCUACGGGAGAAAGCAGGGGCUCUUCGGACCUUGCGCUAUCGGAUGAGCUUAUGUCGGAUUAGCUGGUUGGUGAGGUAACGGCUCACCAAGGCGACGAUCCGUAGCUGGUCUGAGAGGAUGAUCAGCCACAUCGGGACUGAGACACGGCCCGAACUCCUACGGGAGGCAGCAGUGGGGAAUAUUGGACAAUGGGGGCAACCCUGAUCCAGCCAUGCCGCGUGUGUGAAGAAGGCCCUCGGGUUGUAAAGCACUUUCAGUGAGGAAGAAGGCUUGUCGGUUAAUACCCGGCAAGAAAGACAUCACUCACAGAAGAAGCACCGGCUAACUCCGUGCCAGCAGCCGCGGUAAUACGGAGGGUGCGAGCGUUAAUCGGAAUUACUGGGCGUAAAGCGUGCGUAGGCGGCUUGAUAAGCCGGUUGUGAAAGCCCCGGGCUCAACCUGGGAACGGCAUCCGGAACUGUCAGGCUAGAGUG